GACGAACGCUGGCGGCGUGCCUAAUACAUGCAAGUUGAACGCUUGAUUUUCACCGAAGCUUGCUUCACCGAAAAUCAAGAGUAGCGAACGGGUGAGUAACGCGUGGGUAACCUACCUCUUAGCGGGGGACAACUAUUGGAAACGAUAGCUAAUACCGCAUAACAAUAUUAAACACAUGUUUAAUAUUUGAAAGUACCAAUUGGUACACUAGGAGAUGGACCCGCGUUGUAUUAGCUAGUUGGUAGUGUAAUGGACUACCAAGGCGAUGAUACAUAGCCGACCUGAGAGGGUGAUCGGCCACAUUGGGACUGAGACACGGCCCAAACUCCUACGGGAGGCAGCAGUAGGGAAUCUUCGGCAAUGGACGAAAGUCUGACCGAGCAACGCCGCGUGAGUGAAGAAGGUUUUCGGAUCGUAAAACUCUGUUGUUAGAGAAGAACGUUGUGUAGAGUGGAAAAUUACACAAGUGACGGUAUCUAACCAGAAAGGGACGGCUAACUACGUGCCAGCAGCCGCGGUAAUACGUAGGUCCCGAGCGUUGUCCGGAUUUAUUGGGCGUAAAGCGAGCGCAGGUGGUUUAAUAAGUCUGAUGUAAAAGGCAGUGGCUCAACCAUUGUGUGCAUUGGAAACUGUUAGACUUGAGUGCAGUAGAGGAGAGUGGAAUUCCAUGUGUAGCGGUGAAAUGCGUAGAUAUAUGGAGGAACACCGGUGGCGAAAGCGGCUCUCUGGACUGUAACUGACACUGAGGCUCGAAAGCGUGGGUAGCAAACA
rnacentral:rRNA from 1 species